rnacentral:lncRNA from 1 species
AUGAAAAAAAAAAAAAAGAAAAAGAGAAAGAAAAAGAAAGGAGAAAAAAAGGGGGUGGGGGAAGGAAACAAAUCAAAAAGCAAAACAAAACAAAAACAAAAACAAAAACAAAAACAAACAAACAAAAAAAGAACCACCGGGGAGUAUCUUCUGAUUCUGUGUACUUUAAGUCCCUUGGCUUCUCCUGGAAGUUGUCCGUCUAGCUGGUGUUCUGGGGGAGGGGCCUGUUGUGCUGAUUUUCAGGUGUUAGCAGUUGGGGGAGCUGCUGUGCCCCUGCCUGGUGCAGGGCUCGGUGGGGGUUGUUUACCCCGUGAGGCCGCAGGAGGAACAGCCCCAGUGGCGGGGCAGCUCUGGAAACCUGGAUUCAGCUCCGGCAGGAACUCCGUCUGCAGGGCCUGGAGGCUCCGGGGCGGGGCCGCUGAUGUGCUCAGCUGGGGCAGGAGCGUCCUUGCUGUCCUGGGCCCUCCCGGCCUCUGCCUGUCCCGGGGGAGGCGGGAUCCUGGGCUGUGUCCCGGCGCCCUGUGCUCCGGAGCCUGCGCUGGUGGAUUCGCGCUCCCGGGCCGCGCAACCCCCUCCGCGGAGCCGCCCCCGAGCCCCUCCGAGCUGCUCCUGGAACCGCGCAGGCCCCUCCGCACGGAGCCUCUUCCUCUGCCCGAGCCCCUCCGAGCUGCUCCCGGGGCCGCGCAGCCCCCUCCGCGGAGCCGCCGCCCGAGCCCCUCCGAGCUGCUCCGGGUCCCGCCGUGCGCGCUGCAGCCCUUAGGGAGCUCGGCGCACUCUCCUGGGUGCGCAGUUGCUGUUACUGUCCCCGGGAGCCCGAGGGCAUCCCCGCCCUCCUGGGUCCUGCUCCAACUCCCCGCGAGCCCCUUUCCGCCCGGGAAGGCUGGUGCAGCUCCUGCUUCUCCGGGACGGGGCUCUCCUGUCCUGGGGACACUCGCCCCGGCCUCAGCCCGGCUCCUCGCGGGGCCCCUCCCCCUUGGAGGCCUUUGUUUCUUUAUUUCUUUUUCCCCGUCCUCCUACCUUGAUAGAAGCGCGAACUCUUCUCACUGGAGCAUUCCAGCUGGUCUCUCUUUAAAUCUCAGGCCGAAUUCAUAG